GCCCUGCGGAGGCUUUACGGUCUACCCCAGAAUCCAGAACAGCUAGAGAGAGCGCUGCGCAGCUGUUCUGGAUUCUGGGGUAGACCGUGAAGCCUCCGCAGGGC